UCCGUAGGCGGAUUGAUAAGUCAGAGGUGAAAUCCCACAGCUUAACUGUGGAACUGCCUUUGAAACUGUUAGUCUUGAGUUAUAUGGAAGUAGAUAGAAUGUGUAGUGUAGCGGUGAAAUGCAUAGAGAUUACACAGAAUACCGAUUGCGAAGGCAGUCUACUACGCAUAUACUGACGCUAAUGGACGAAAGCGUGGGGAGCGAACAGGAUUAGAUACCCUGGUAGUCC
rnacentral:rRNA from 1 species